GGUUCGAUUCUGGCUCAGAUUGAACGCUGGCGGGAUACUUUACACAUGCAAGUCGAACGGCAGCACCGGACUUCGGUCUGGUGGCGAGUGGCGAACGGGUGAGUAAUGUAUCGGAACGUGCCUAGUAGCGGGGGAUAGCGUUUGCGCGGCGCUAGCUAAUACCAUACGCCCUUCAAGGCGGGGAAAGCUUGGGGGACCUUCGGGCCUCGCACUAUUAAACGGCCGAUAUCGGAUUAGCUAGUUGGUGGGAGUAACGGCUCACCAAGGCGACGAUCCGUAGCUGGUUUGAGGGGACGACCAGCCACACUGGGACUGAGACACGGCCCGAACUCACAAGGAGGCAGCGGUGGGGAAUUUUGGACAAUGGGGAAACCUGAUCCAGCCAUCCGCGUGUGCGAUGAAGGCCUUCGGGUUGUAAAGCACUUUGGCAGGAGAAAAACGCUGGGAUAAUACCCCGUGCAACUGACAGCCACCAGAAUAAGCACCGGCUAACUACGUGCCAGCAGCCGCGGUAAUACGUAGGGUGCAAGCGUUAAUCGGAAUUACUGGGCGUAAAGCGUGCGCAGGCGGUUCGGAAAGAAGAUGUGAAAUCCAGGCAACUUUGGAACUGCAUUUUUAACUACCGAGCUGGGAGGUGUGUCAGAGGGAGGUGGAGAUUCCGCGUGUAGCAGUGAAAUGCGUAGAUAUGGAAGAGGCACCGAUGGCGAGCAGCCUCCUGGGAUAACACUGACGCUCAUGCACGAAAGCGUGGGGAGCAAACAGGAUUAGAUACCCUGGUAAUCACGCCCUAAACGAUGUCAACUAGCUGUUGGGGCCUUCGGAACGCUUGGUAGCGCAGCUAACGCGUGAAGUUGACCGCCUGGGAAGUACGGUCGCCGGUCAAAACUCAAAGGAAUUGACGGGGACCCGCACAAGCGGUGGAUGAUGUGGAUUAAUUCGAUGCAACGCGAAAACCUUACCUACCCUUGACAUGUCUGGAAUCCCGAAGAGAUUUAGGAGUGCUCGCAAGAACCGGAACACGGUGCUGCCAAUGUCGUCAGCUCGUGUCGUGAGAUGUUGAUUAAGUCCCGCAACGAAGCGCAACCCUCGUCAUUAGUUGCUACGAAGGGCACUCUGGCGAGGCUUCGCGGUGACAAACCGGAGGAAGGUGGGGAUGACGUCAAGUCCUCGCUGGCCCAUAUGGGUAGGGCUUCACACGUCAUACAAUGGUCGGGACCGAGGGUCGCCAACCCGCGAGGGGAGCCAAUCCCAGAAACCCGAUCGUAGUCCGGAUCGCGAUUCAACUCUGACUGCGUGAAAUUGGAGAUCGCUAGUAAUCGCGGAUCAGCAUGUCGCGGUGAAUACGUUCCCGGGCCUUGUACACACCGCCCGUCACCAUGGGAGUGGUUUUACCAGAAGUAGUUAGCCUAACCGUAAGGAGGGCGAUUACCACGGUAAGUUCGCGGCUGAAAUUUGAAGUCGUAACAAGGUAG
rnacentral:rRNA from 1 species